rnacentral:rRNA from 1 species
CGCCAGACUCCUACGGGAGGCAGCAGUGGGGAAUAUUGCACAAUGGGGGAAACCCUGAUGCAGCGACGCCGCGUGAGUGAAGAAGUAUUUCGGUAUGUAAAGCUCUAUCAGCAGGGAAGAAAAUGACGGUACCUGACCAAGAAGCCCCGGCUAACUACGUGCCAGCAGCCGCGGUAAUACGUAGGGGGCAAGCGUUAUCCGGAUUUACUGGGUGUAAAGGGAGCGUAGACGGCUGUGCAAGUCAGAAGUGAAAGCCCGGGGCUCAACCCCGGGACUGCUUUUGAAACUGCGUGGCUGGAGUGCAGGAGAGGUAAGCGGAAUUCCUGGUGUAGCGGUGAAAUGCGUAGAUAUUAGGAGGAACACCAGUGGCGAAGGCGGCCUGCUGGACGACAACUGACGGUGAGGCGCGAAAGCGUGGGGAGCAAACAGGAUUAGAUACCCCCGUA